rnacentral:rRNA from 1 species
CCUACGGGCGGCUGCAGUGGGGAAUAUUGCGCAAUGGGGGAAACCCUGACGCAGCGACGCCGCGUGGGUGAUGAAGGCCUUCGGGUCGUAAAGCCCUGUCGGAGGGGAAGAAGGACUCUCGUGCAAAUAGUUCGAGGGUUUGACGGUACCCUUAGAGGAAGCACCGGCUAACUCCGUGCCAGCAGCCGCGGUAAUACGGAGGGUGCAAGCGUUGCUCGGAAUUACUGGGCGUAAAGGGCGUGUAGGCGGUUUCGUAUGUCUGGCGUGAAAGCCCCGGGCUCACCUCGGGAAGUGCGUCGGAAACUGCGAGACUAGAGUCCCGGAGAGGGAGGUGGAAUUCCAGGUGUAGCGGUGAAAUGCGUAGAUAUCUGGAAGAACACCGGUGGCGAAAGCGGCCUCCUGGACGGUGACUGACGCUGAGACGCGAAAGCGUGGGGAGCAAACAGGCUUAGAUACCCCGGUAGUC